rnacentral:rRNA from 1 species
UACGUAGGUGGCAAGCGUUGUCCGGAUUUACUGGGUGUAAAGGGCGCGUAGACGGCGAUGCAAGCCAGAUGUGAAAGCCCGGGGCUCAACCCCGGGACUGCAUUUGGAACUGUAUAGCUAGAGUGUCGGAGAGGCAGGCGGAAUUCCUAGUGUAGCGGUGAAAUGCGUAGAUAUUAGGAGGAACACCAGUGGCGAAGGCGGCCUGCUGGACGAUGACUGACGUUGAGGCUCGAAAGCGUGGGGAGCAAACAGG